GACGAACGCUGGCGGCGUGCUUAACACAUGCAAGUCGAACGGUAAGGCCUUCGGGUACACGAGUGGCGAACGGGUGAGUAACACGUGGGUGAUCUGCCCUGCACUUUGGGAUAAGCCUGGGAAACUGGGUCUAAUACCGAAUAGGACCACGCGCUUCAUGGUGUGUGGUGGAAAGCUUUUGCGGUGUGGGAUGGGCCCGCGGCCUAUCAGCUUGUUGGUGGGGUAAUGGCCUACCAAGGCGACGACGGGUAGCCGGCCUGAGAGGGUGACCGGCCAAACUGGGCCUGGGAUACUGCCCGGACUCCUACGGGAGGAAGCAGUGGGGAAUAUUGCACAAUGGGCGCAAGCCUGAUGCAGCGACGCCGCGUGAGGGAUGACGGCCUUCGGGUUGUAAACCUCUUUCAGUAGGGACGAAGCGCAAGUGACGGUACCUAUAGAAGAAGGACCGGCCAACUACGUGCCAGCAGCCGCCGUAA
rnacentral:rRNA from 1 species